AGUAGAUUACCAUAGUAACCCUAUACUAUAUUCCCGCAGAAAUUAGUGAGGUCAUAAGUAUUAGUUAAGAUAUACUAAAUAUUUUUUAUUUUUCUGGUAAAAUAUUUACUACUUCUCUCCUCCCUCCCCUUUUUCUCUCUAACCUCUCUCUAGAAGCGCAGCCCCUUUUUCCGGUCAGAUCUCGCCCCCUCCGGUCGCCGGUGUUCUAGCAUUGGUACUGGUUCCGUGAGGGUCCCUUCAUUUUCUUUCUUUCUUGUUCAUGGCCGGAGCUUCAUCUUGAGUUUUAGGGUCUUUCGCUGGCCUGAUGAGGUGGUGCUUGUUUGCUGUCGAAGUUUCCAGUUUGUCCAGUCUCAAUCCCUUCCUUACGACCUCUUGGAGUUCUGAGUGUUCGACCGAUGGUGAAGGGGAAAGCGAUGAGUCGUUAUGGUGGGGAGGGCUUGUUGGUGCUUGAGCUGCUGGGAUCGAUGAGUAAGCUCAUGUUCGAGGACAAUGGGUGGGUCUUGAAAUGGAUCUCCGGCAGCGGCUGGAUUGUAUACUGAACAUAUUAGCCGGAUACCGAAGAGUAUGUUAGAUAUAAGUACAAUAUUAACCGGAUAUAAGUUAAACAAAUAGGAGAAAAUGUAUAAUGAAUAUAUUAGCCAGAUAUAGUUACAAUAUAAU